CUUUCCUGUCCUACAACAGAGGCAUUUCCCUGGCUCUGAUACAUCAAGGGAAUCAUGAGGGGAAUCAGGACCACUUCUGCAGAGUUAUCUGGUGAAGGAGAGUCCAAACAGUUAGAAGUCAUUAGGAUGUGCACGGGGAUCUCAGUAGCAGCUGUAUCAUUUCCAAGUACAUCACCACACAACCGGACAAAGCAUUGUUCUUCCCAUGAGACCAUCAGCACCAUAAUGGAUGUGACCCUGCAUGAGCAAGUCUGGAAAAACCUGAUGGCUCUUCUAAUCUGAAUGUCAAGAAAUGGAACAAAGAUUAAGUUUCCAAGGAGAAGAGCCCUUCAUCAUUUUCAGCCAACUUUAAGCUUUGAUUCCUAUAUUUAUACAGUUCAUUACUUUUUCACAAGAAGCAAAAUGUUCUUGUUCCAUGGCUGCAUCAAGCUAUGCAUGAGGAUUUAGCAGCAUAUAUAUUAAUCAUUGCAUUAUCUUCAUUUUCUUAAAGAGAAUAUGUAACACAAAGGAAGACAACAAGAAUUAUUCUCCAAGAAAAAGCAACAGCUCAGCUUCACAACAUUAACUUUGACAAAUAUUCAUGAAACCAAAACUUUAGAGGUCCAAAAAAGGAAAUAGCUCAUAUUUAAAUGAAUUCAUUUUCACAACUGUUCUCAUUAAUCUCUUCUUAUGUAGGAUUAUAUUUUAAACAUAAAAGAAUUCCUUGCUUCUAUUUCCUAUGCUAUUUUAGCUUCAUGCUUUCUUAGAACAGCUGUACCCAACUUCAUAUUUAUGCAAACAUCUUCUUCACACUAUUUUCCAGCUACUUUUCUGUGAGUUUAUAGAAAUGUGUAUUGUCAGACACAGAAGGUACAAUUCUUGAAAGCACUUGUGGGAUUUGGGAUCUUGGGUUUUAUUUAAUUUCAGUCGCAGCUGUGAUUCCAUCUUUAUGGGUCCCUCAAAAACUAGUUAUUUGACAGAACAAGAACAAAUUUGUUCUCUACAAUGUCACUUAAACAGCAAGUUAUUAAUUUUAACUUCUGAUGGAUUUAAUGUAAUCAUCAGAAUUUCCUUAUUACAAGACUUACUGUAUAACACAAUGCAAUUUUCAAUUAAUGCAAUGGAAUCUUAAAUCAGAGUCUAG
ensembl:lncRNA